rnacentral:lncRNA from 1 species
GCGCUUUUCUGAAAGUAUGUUACGAUCCUGCUCUUGGGAGAUUAAGCUGUUGUCAUUUUGCUUCAUAAAUAAUUGGCAUGCUAAAACAUUGGUUGUUGCUUCAGUGGUGGGGGCCAAUAAUAGAAAGAAGUUGCUUCCUUAGAUGGUUGGUUAGGUCGUGGGUGCAGCAAGGAAAGGGCCACCUGAUGACGGUUCUGGACUUGAGGUCUAACAAAAAGUAUUGUUCAGUGUAGUGUUUUUCUGGUUUCUUGAUCAGUGUGUCAGAGGCCAUGAAUUCUUUUCAUGCUUGCAAAGUUUUUUUUGGAUUGUAUUUGAAAAGUAUACCCCGAUUGAGAGGCUAGGAGGGAUCUUGCUGAACAAAUAUACCUGACUUCAUGAAUGUCUGUACAGUUAGUCAGAGAUGAAAUGACAAGCAGCUCUCCUGCGUCGUUCGAGAAGAAAAGAAAACAAAAGACGAGGAUUA